UUAAAACAUAAAUAAAUGAAAUAAAAUUGGAACGAUACAGAGAAUAUUAGCAUGGCCCCUACACAAGGAUGACACAAAUUCAUGAAGCAUUCCAUGUUUUU
rnacentral:snRNA from 1 species